rnacentral:misc_RNA from 1 species
CUCUCACCCUUUCGUUGCGUCCUUCUCAUUCUCUUGAAACUUGCAGAGACUACUCAGUCUCUAUUGCUACUCCUAAACCUUCCCCAAUUCACUCCCUAAUUCAAAUUUCAAAUCCCAACUCAUUCCCUCCAAUCUAACAUUUCGAAAAUCAAAAACCACUUUCUCUGCGACAAGGCUGCCUCAAAGCCUUGUUAUUUGCUCUGCUGAGAGAGCUUCUCUAGCCAAGGCUUUGCUUUGAUUCUUGGCUUGCCUGGUAUCCACCUUGGCCCUGCUUGUUUUGAUGCUCUUAGUGCAAAGCUCAUGGAGAGAACAGGCUUUGAUUAUUGCUUCACUACUGGAUGAUAGUUAUGAACUUGCCAAUGAACAUUUAGGUUAGCUGUGUGAAGGAGCUCAGCCUCUAAGCUAUUAUACCAAGAUUGUGCCAAAAGGAAGACCUUGCAAAGCAUUAUGUCAGAAGUGUUAUGAAGAUUCUUCAUUAUCCUGUAAUUUUAAAGAUGAUCUUAAGAGAUCUCGUUCCAUCAUAACCUUCCAAGACUGGAACUAUAAAUUUUGGAAGGAGUGGUUCCUUUAUUUGCCAACGUAUUGUCCUGCAUUGCCUCUUUAAUUGUUAGGGUCGUUUGCUUGUGACUUUGGUUGAAAAUGCCUCAGUUGAAGAGACGAGGUAUGCAUCUUACCUUGUAAGUUGUUCGUCUUGGCUUCCAAGGUUCUAAGUUGUUG